UACGGGGGGGGCAAGCGUUGUUCGGAAUUACUGGGCGUAAAGGGCUCGUAGGCGGCCAACUAAGUCAGACGUGAAAUCCCUCGGCUUAACCGGGGAACUGCGUCUGAUACUGGAUGGCUUGAAUCCGGGAGAGGGAUGCGGAAUUCCAGGUGUAGCGGUGAAAUGCGUAGAUAUCUGGAGGAACGCCGGUGGCGAAGGCGGCAUCCUGGACCGGCAUUGACGCUGAGGAGCGAAAGCCAGGGGAGCAAACGGG
rnacentral:rRNA from 1 species